rnacentral:rRNA from 1 species
CUGCCCACUGAAGUAUUUUGAAGGGCCGCAGUAUUUUGACUGUGCAAAGGUAGCAUAAUCAUUAGUCUUUUAAUUAAGGGCUUGUAUGAAUGGUUGGACGAGGUAAAUUCUGUUUUAUAAUAAUGUAUUGAAUUUUGAUUUUGAGUAAAAAGACUUAAAUAAUAUUAAGGGACGAGAAGACCCUAUAGAGUUUAAUAAAUAUUUUUUUUAAUUGAGUUUAUAAGGGAUUUUUGGUUAAAUAAAUCAUUUAUUUAAUUGGGGUGAUUAAAAGAUAAAAGAAACUCUUUUUUUUUUUUAAUAUAAAUAGAUAAUAUAAUGAUCCAUUAUUAAUGAUUAAAAGAUUAAAUUACCUUAGGGAUAACAGCAUUAUUUCUUUUGAGAGUUCUUAUCAAAAAAGAAGAUUGUGACCUCGAUGUUGGAUUAAGAUUUAAUUUGGGUGUAG